GUUAUGAUCACGCGAAUCUUACCGGACCGACAGCAAUAUGAAGGCCAGGCUGAAGACUUUGCCGGAUUAGCUGAGAGGUGGUGCAUGGCCGUCGUCAGUUCGUACUGUGAAGCAUCCUGUUAAGUCAGGCAACGAGCGAGACCCACGCCCACAGUUGCCAGCGUACUCUCCGGAGUGACGGGUACACUGUGGGGACCGCCGCUGCUAAAGCGGAGGAAGGAAUGGGCAACGGUAGGUCAGUAUGCCCCGAAUAUCCCGGGCUACACGCGAGCUACAAUGGUUGGUACAAUGGGUAUCUACCCCGAAAGGGGACGGGAAUCUCCUAAAACCAAUCUUAGUUCGGAUUGAGGGCUGCAACUCGCCCUCAUGAAGCUGGAAUCCGUAGUAAUCGCGUUUCAACAGAACGCGGUGAAUACGUCCCUGCUCCUU
rnacentral:rRNA from 1 species